CUAAUGGUUAACUACUACCAACAGCUCUCUAUAUUCACAUGAUGUGUCACUCACUGGCUUUGGUUGUUCUUUCCUCUUUCUUUUAUAGGAUCAUCAAGUUUGUAUCCCUGUCCGUGUGUGGCCCGAAGCCUUUGUGUAACGUCCACAUGGCUGUGCAGCACAGAGGCUCCACGCUCCCGCUUCCUCUUCACUGCUAUCAUCGCCUGCAUAUGGUGCAUGGCUCUCAGCUGUCGCCGCCGCUUCCUCCUCCAUAUGAUUUCUACACACUCCACAAUGUCCUCCCUCUGUGCUGGCUAACCCGGUGCUGCAGGAAAACCACAGAAGAGAUGUUGGGACCUGCUAUCAGAGCAGCGUAUACCCUGCGGUCUGCUGUCUGGUCACAUAAAAACAUCAGGGCAGCUGUGGAAAAGCCUCUGGACAGGAGCCAGACUGAGAGAAUGGUUGAACCAGAGGAACCCGCCUGCUCGCUUGGCACCUAG
rnacentral:lncRNA from 1 species